CCUAAUACAUGGCUCGUGCUCUUGCUCCUGUCUGGCAUCUGUCUAGUGUUGCUGCUAGUGCGUACAGCUUUGAUGCAAUGUUUAACUUGUUUGUUUUAAUAGUUAAUGAGAUCAUUGUUUGGUUGUUGCUGCAGCUGUGAUAGUUGGUCCAUGGUUCCUUGCUCCCCAGAUCAGUUCUGACUAAUUCCCCGUGGUGGUGGCUUUAACUGCUGCUGUUUUGCCCUUUUAGUAGUGUUUGCCUUUAGUCCACUUAGUUGGGGAGGCUAGGUACGCAGAGUGAGGUCCCCACACUUUGCAUGUGAGUUAUGAGCUCUGGGUCACAAAUAGAUGACACUAAAGUUUGGAUUGCUGUGAGAUUUGCUUCAAGAAGGUCCCUCACAGCAGAAGACUUCACCUGUCCGACCGUAGGGAUGAUCUCAAGAUGUGGGACAUGAGACAAAAAAAACAAUGGGGAAGUGUCAGACAAAACAACAGAGUCUGACUCUGUUAUGACAUUUUUGUCAUAUCAAUACUAUGUUAAGUUUGACACAUUCACAAUAUGUUGAUAUUGUUUAGACUUUACAUAGAACAUUUUCAAGGUCGAUUGCAGGAAGAAAUCCAGGUAAAGUUGGGGUUAAAAUCUCAGCUGUUUGGGUUUACACAGACAGCUCACCCUGAAAACCAUUAAUAUUUGUGAUGACAAAGGGCUCGAGAAAGCAGCAGAGGUGAGGCAAAGUCAUUGCUUUGUAAGUCACAAGUAAAGAUAGUCAAGUCAAAAGUCCUAACCUUUGAAUUUUGAGUCCUGAACAAGUUGCAAGUCUAUCAUGAUUUUGUAGAGUCCAAAGUCAUCAAAUCUGUGACUCGAGUCCACACCUCUGGAAAACAGUGCCAGUCAGAAUUUAAGAGUGAAAACAAAACCUGUUUUUUUUUUUUUUCUGAAAUAUAACAGAAAAGUGCAGAGUGAUUCACAUUCACAGCAUUAAAAUCAGAAGACAUAUCUUUAUAGAAAUUACUAUUGUUUAUUUUGAUUCAUAUCUUGAUCUGCCUUUCUUUUAUUUUUACGUUGAAUCUUGAAAUACAAUUGACAACGGCUAUACUGUGGUAGAAGACAAAAUAAAUUCAAAUAUAAAACACAAGAACAUGAAGAUACACAUUCAUCGUAAACAUCAUGAUGAAACGAAAGUAUAAUCAUAAAAAAUGGUACAACUAAAAUGGAGCAUGGCAGGUCGAAAAAAAAAAUACAAAAAAGGUUUGUGCCAAAGGGAAGGCGUCUGUAUAACAGCUGAUAUCCCCUUUACCUGUCAUCACACACAACCUUUAAAACACAAUCAAUACACCUAUAGACUUCCCAUCAUACAGUAGCAGGUGAGGUGACGGCACUGAGGACCGGCUGACUCUGAGACGUUUAAGGUACGGCAGUGAGGGGUAAAGUGCUGAGAAGUUUUGAAAAAUGAAGAAUCAACGUCCAUCUUUUUUCCACAUUCAUAGUGAUGUUGGAGCACCAGAGCGUACCUGCACCUGCUUUAUAGUCCCAGAGACACACCAGCACACUGCCAGGUACGCUCUAUGAAGCUUGAGUUGUUAACAUGGGUUUUUAAGAAUGGUAAAUGUGAAUAAAGUUGCAUGAAGUCAAACAAAAAGUGUACAUUUCUUUGCAAAAACUCAAACUGUUGCAUCUCUGAAGUACAAA